CCACGCCCUCUCAUAAGUGAAGAACAGGAAUAUUCCGGUUUUUCCAGGUUGCCUGAAAAAAUGUAGUCACGUAGUUUUCUUAGACGGUGAACAAGCUGUAUUACAAAGAGCAAAAGGUUUUUUCUUUUGGAGAUACACCGAAAUAUUAAAGAAAUAUUCAGAGAGCGAGACAACAUUGGUUGUGAUGGCUGAACGUUUUUUCCUGCUACUAGUCACCCAUGAGGCACGGAGCAGCCGCGUGAGCACAUUUUGACCAGAGGUCAGGUCCUUUUAGCGGGAACCUAAACUUCCUGGAGCUGCAUUCGAAUAUCGUUGGAUGUCGAUGCUGGAACUGGCGUGAACAGGAAGUUGGGGGAGGUACUCAAUGGAAGGGUAAAUACCAGUGACCUCAGCAGACCAGCUAAUCAUCCACAUCCCACCAGUUUGCAAGUGGACCAACCUUUGUGAAGAACUUGUGGCCACGGAUAUUCUGCGGUGACGGGCGAUCCCGUGGGUCGAUUUGAAAUAUUUUGCCCAUCAGUUUCCCAGCUUCAAUACCGAGGUUCUGGGGUAGAAUAAAUUUAGCUUCUUUGAUGUUCUUUAUCAUUUCACAGCGAUCGUCGUGAUCGAAUGGGAUUUCCCCAACCAGAAGCUGGUACCUGUAGUAAGAAAGGCAGCAAAGGUGUUUGAGGUCUUUCACAUUUGACAUAAAAAUGCUGUGCUUCCAAAAGAGCAAUUCCUCUCAACUGUGUGCCAGUAUUCAUUUUUCUUUUCUAUUUCAAGUAGAAAAAAAAAACAUAUUUAUGUAUGUUAGACGCAUGUCUUCUUAAAAUGUUAGACAGAUUUUAUUAGCCAUGCUGAUCUUUGGCCGGGAGGAGGGUUGAUAGGGUAUACGUACAUGACACAGCCCAGUGCCCAGACUUCUGCUUCCGUUCCAUGGCCCUCUCGUUUCCACACUUCUGGAGCCAUGUAACAUGGAGUACCACACACUUUUCUACAACACACACAAAUGGAAAACGUUAAGCGCACAUGUGCUUUAGCUUGCUGUAUAAACAAAUUUGAAAGCUUAGCCAGGAAUUCUGCAAAAAACACCUACUUGUCCCUCGGCUCCAGCUUGACCGCCAGUCCAAAAUCCCCGAUUUUCAGUUUCAUUUUGUCACUGACAAAUAAGUUUUCUGAAAGACAAACAAAUUUGCAUUAAGGAUAGACUCAAAUACUUUGCCAAACUGCAGACUUUACCAAAUUGAUAAAUGAACACUACACAGAAAUCCAGACGAGCUACACUCGCAAUGCCAUGUGAAAUGCCAGCAUUAUUAAACAGAGAAUUGAGUAAAGCGUGAGUGCAUGUACACAUAUCGAACUAGAUUUCCCUAUGGACAUAAUAUUGCCGGUAGAUGUGUUUUAUCCCCGAUAUCAGCUGUUGAAUGUAAUAGCGGACUUCGGGGUCAAUCAGAGUCCCGCGAGCUUUCAGGAUGUCACCAAGUGUCUGGGCAGGGAGAAACAGGGGCAGCCUGAUCCAUCACAAAGUCUUUGCCUUAGUAAGACGUCUAUAAAAGUCAGGGACUCACCUGCCUACUGCACAACUCCAUGAAAAUAUACAUGAACAGAUCGUCUUCAAAAGAAUGGGAGAAGCCCACAACGUUCUUGUGCCGUGGUUUUUUUCAAAAUUUCCACUUCUUGACACACCUGAGUGAAAUAUCAAACACACCAUCUCAUCAAGUACUGUAACAGGGAAAUGCAGAUAAACUGCAAAGAGGGAUGACAUUAAGCACAAUCCAUACCACAUACCUCCUCCAGUCCCCAGGAAUGUGGAGGUAUGACCAUCACAGCAAAGGUGUCACCACUUUCAAGGUCGGUCAUCUUGUAGCACUUGCCACAAGCACCCUAAAGAACAUGUCAAUAAAGGGCAUUUCUGACUGACCCUGUUCAAGCAUCUCCUCUCCGCAGAAAAAGAUCAACUGUAAUCACUUUCAACAACAACUUUGUGGUGCACACCUGUCCCAAAAGCGGCCAAGACAGCUGGGCAAUUUGAACUUGCUAGAUGGAUUACAUCACCACAUUGAAAAUUCCAUGGACGGAAAAAGAGGUGAACUUGCUAAGACAUUGCAACAAAACACGGAUAAAAACUUUCAUUACAAUCAACUUCAUUGAAGAAAAAAAACCCAUCUCCGUUAUGUACACCAAACAUUCAGUUUCGGUAAUGCAGUAACACAUGCUCAGGAAUAAAGACUUUUAUGUAGUGUGCAGUGACUAUCACAUCAUAUGUUACUGCGGCUCUUUAGGCACUCAGCUAUCGGUCUCACUUUGUCAUACAGAACAGGGAUUCAUUUCCUGGUGAAAAACUUCCUAUGUGGUAUGUGAUACCUCAGCUCCAAGAUGUGGAGCAGUUAUCUAUUACACCGUAAGGCUGGAUAUUUUUACAAAUAAAGGCAGCAAUGGUGUCGGUUAUUGCCUUAGAACGAGCUGUUAGCUGGCAGGGUGUGAAAAUUAGGGCGUUUAUUUUUUUUAAAGAGUUUUGUGUUAUUUGAAAGCAUUGUGAAAUGUAAAAAAAAAAACAGUAAUGAUAUGAUGAAAAUGGGAAUACUGACGUUGACAAUGCCAAUAUAAUAUUUUGGUAUGUUAAGGCAUGUUUGUUCUCUGCUUUAAAGAAAGGGGGAUGUGUUGAUAUGUAGUGCAGUACCUUUGGUGACCAGCAGAGAGACCUGGAGGGUUGGGAGGAGGUAAAGACAAGGGCUCGCGCGACGUGGCCGAGGGACUUGAGGAGAAUUAUACACUGACAGCAGUGGAGAUGAGAGCGCACUUGAAAUUAUCAAGUAAGAGAGGGUUAAUCGAGCAAAAUGUACAAUUAUUGGUCAGAAAAUGUCGGUCAAAUUUCUAAAUAAUUAUGGCGUACGAAUAAUGAUAUAUCCGUAAAUCGUAUUUUACCGAUUUAAAGAUGUUCAUUAUUCAUUGUAUUGUCACGCCCCCCUCGGGAGAAUGCAGCGGCAGCAGCCACACCUGAGUUACGUCAACUCCCUGUUUAGUUCUGCUUGGCGCUGCAUUAUAUGCAAGGUACUGUUGAGGGUUUUCAUAAGAAGUACAGGGCGGUCUUCCUCCUGUCUACCCCGAUCCGGUCCAUCUGCCUGCUUUGCUGCCAUCCCAUCCCAUCCCAUCCUGAUCCACCCGGACCUCUCCCUUGUACUUGUCCUGCGUCUCGCAUGCCACCUGUAGAACUGGCUUUUGGACUCGAUUGUACUUGCUGAUUCCAGUCCUGUUUGCGUGUUCCCAACAAUAAACCCCGUACAGUACGUUGCCUUCUGUGUCUCUACCAUCCUCCGGGGUUGCAUGUUGUGCAAUACUGUAGUAGCUUGGAUUCAACCAUUAGAUGGCAGUAGUAGCAUAUAGUUGGAGGGAAGUAGAAGAAGGCAAGAGAGGGAAGUUGAGUGUUUGUGCGUUGUUCCCGGAGCUGAUAAGUUAAUAAAUAUUGAACCUCUUGCCAUCCCCAAAUGUGUCUCGGCUGACUCUCAAUAUAUCAAAAGUACAUACCGUCUAUUUAUUUAUGUCUGCCCUUCAAACCGCUAGAUUCCUUCACUAAGCAGGAAGUUUGUCACGACAGCUGACACCAAAUCUCCUGCUGAGCUGGUUCAGACAGAACUAUCCUCAAUUCACCACGAGGGGGUGCCAACGCAGCAGCUUAGUUCUAUUGUUUCGCUUUUUCAAAGACAGUUUUUCUCUUCACAAAAGGACAACUUAACUGAAUAAUGCACUUUCAUAGUAAUUGUUUUUAAUCCGUGUUAAUGUUCUGAACAAUGACUACUAAAGGUUCUGUAAGGUUGUCCCACAUACUAUGGAUUUUAAGUUUUUUAUCAAGGUGUUAAAACGUACCAUCUAUUUUCUGCUGAAAGUUGCCAGUCCUGUGUUUUAUGUCUAGCAAUUUGUACAGUUUCUUCAGUAUGGCACAUAAACACAUGCCAUCAUCUACAGUAUGAGAAUCUCCUCCAGAACUCUGCAUUUCCUCAAGAUUUUUUUGUAAUAUUACAUAGGUGCAUCUCAUGAACCUUAAUUUGCCAAGCAUGUAUUGACUGGGCACAGUACAGUGGUGCAAUUUCUGACAAUGAAAGAACAUCAUGGACCCCUACUCCCCAUUCCUUAACCCGAUCGAGGGGCUCUGCUCAGCAUGGAGUUAGAAGGCUUACGAUCGCUAGCCACAUGCUCAGAUGGCCCUGCUGGCUGACAUGAAUGCAGCAUGUGAGGACAUUACAGCAGAUGCCUGCAGAGGCAGACACUUCACUGGCUGUGGAUGUUGUUCAGCCCAGCUACCUGAUGAGGGUCCAGCAUGGAGACAGUGUGACCCUGACAUGCUUCCGUCCAGAAGAUAUUUCUUUUGCAGUUUGGUUUUAGCAAGCUGCUGGUCAGAAGCCCCAGCUCAUCGCGAAAGCACUUCUCUACGUACCUGGCGGAACCCACCGAAUAGCCCGUCUCGAUCACGCCCACAUGGGCGGGACCAGCCAGGUGCUCCGUAGAACGCUUAAUGACGGAAUGGAUUUAAGCACUGAGCUCCAUCGGGACAUUGCGAAGUAUUGAGCCAUGCUAUUGAGCCAUACCGAGCAAUCUAUUGUCUAUCGUCUACCCGUUGCUUCCUACCUGUUCCGUCCGCCCAGUGUACUUACCUUGUCUGUUCCUCUUCCUCUUCCCAGACCCGUUCCCGAACCUGAACCUCUUGCCCCGCUGAGACCGGCUUCUCCUGGUACUCUUUCCCUGUGUUGUCGUGUCCCGUGUUUGUUCCUCUUUCGGCUUCGGACACAUGCUUCUGCCCCUCGACCAUUCUCCUCGCUUAGCCCCUUUCAUUGCUACGUACUAGUGCUGCCAAUAAAACUUCUGGCUGCGUGCAAAUCUAGAUCUCCGUUCCACUUCUUGGGCCAGUGUUACAGUUAUAAUAUAAUCUUUGUUAUCAUAUAAUGUUAUCAAUGUAUAUUAAAGCUGUUAAGGUAUGUUAGGAUAUUAAGGUAUACGAAUUACAUGGUGAUUAUGAAUGUUAUAUGAAUGCAUUGUAAAUGUAUAAUGUAGGUGCAGUUAAUGUAAAGUGUUACUGAAUAUAUACUAAUAAAUAGUUAUACAACAAAAAGAGACAAGAAUGUCAACUAUUCUCCAAGAAGUUACUUAUUUUAUGGAUGGAUAGAACAACAUGACAUCCAUUCCAAAAUAUUUCUAAAAUCGGCAAGAAAUAUUUUUCAGGAUCUGUGUUUUCCAUUGUGACUCUCAAAGCGCUGUCAUCAUCAACAUUUUGCUUUUCAGGUAAAGACUCCAACAGCAAGACUGUGGUACAGCAGCCUGUGUCUGACACUGUGUCUGACACAGACUCUGUGAGUCUGCAGUGUACGAUAGAGACUGGGAGCUGUGCAGGAGAACACAGUGUUUACUGGUUCAGACAUUGUUAGAGUGUAUCUGUGUAUUUUAUCAUAUUAUUAUCCUCCUAUAUGUGUACGUGCAACCCUUAACAACUAACCCAUGGCCCAGAAAGGGUUGCAGACAAGAUGUCCUCACAGGGGCCUACCAGAUUGUGACGCAGGAAUAAGAGACCUUGAGAAAGGAAACAGAUUCUGUCAACAUAGCAGGGGGCCCACCUUGAGAUAUGUAAUGCUUUGUAUUAACCCUGUUUCACGGAGGCCUCACACAGCAUUGACUAGUUUAAAGACAAGACCCAUGUAACCCCUCCCCUACCCUAUAAAUAAAGAAGCCAAGGGACUGUCCGGUGUGACACUCAACAGAGGCGCAGAUACUGUCUGUUGCACCUGAAGUGGGCACCCUUGCGCAAGUAAAACAGAAA